UUUGACAAAACCCUUCAUCAUAGUACUAAAAGGGCAAUUGACACAAAUUCCAUCUUUCCAAUUCUUUUGGUUUUGCUGAUGUUUGGCCUUCCAGACCAGCUAAUUGGCCUGGUUUGUUGGUUUGUUCUGCCCUCUCUGCUGUGGUCCAGUUGUGGAUUUCUCAGCAACAACAAGAGAGGGAAGAAGAGCCCUUUCCCAAAAGCAUAUUACCAUUUACCAAAUUCCACCAAAAAAAUAAAAAAUAAAAAAUCUGAGAAGCCCAAAACGAAUAUCAUCAGAAACAGAGAUGGGUAUUUUUUUCACUCACCUGAAUCACCAUCUCUAGCCACCCAUUACUUCCAUCUGUCUGGUGGUCCAUGGAAUCAUGUCUCCAUAAUUGACUUCCAAGACUCACGCACUCUAUAUGCUUUGUAUGGAAUCAUGAAAUUUGAUUCGAGCAUGUAGCUGACUUAAUGUUGAAGUUUGUACUUCCACACCUCUAGUGUGUAAACAACCUUUUUUCAUGUCAUAAGAAAAAACGUUC
rnacentral:lncRNA from 1 species